GAAACCGAGUCUUAAUUGGGCGUUAAGUUGCAGGGUAUAGACCCGAAACCCGGUGAUCUAGCCAUGGGCAGGUUGAAGGUUGGGUAACACUAACUGGAGGACCGAACCGACUAAUGUUGAAAAAUUAGCGGAUGACCUGUGGCUGGGGGUGAAAGGCCAAUCAAACCGGGAGAUAGCUGGUUCUCCCCGAAAGCUAUUUAGGUAGCGCCUCGUGAAUUCAUCUCCGGGGGUAGAGCACUGUUUCGGCUAGGGGGCCAUCCCGGCUUACCAACCCGAUGCAAACUGCGAAUACCGGAGAAUGUUAUCACGGGAGACACACGGCGGGUGCUAACGUCCGUCGUGAAGAGGGAAACAACCCAGACCGCCAGCUAAGGUCCCAAAGUCAUGGUUAAGUGGGAAACGAUGUGGGAAGGCCCAGACAGCCAGGAUGUUGGCUUAGAAGCAGCCAUCAUUUAAAGAAAGCGUAAUAGCUCACUGGUCGAGUCGGCCUGCGCGGAAGAUGUAACGGGGCUAAACCAUGCACCGAAGCUGCGGCAGCGACGCUUAUGCGUUGUUGGGUAGGGGAGCGUUCUGUAAGCCUGUGAAGGUGUGUCGUGAGGCAUGCUGGAGGUAUCAGAAGUGCGAAUGCUGACAUAAGUAACGAUAAAGCGGGUGAAAAGCCCGCUCGCCGGAAGACCAAGGGUUCCUGUCCAACGUUAAUCGGGGCAGGGUGAGUCGACCCCUAAGGCGAGGCCGAAAGGCGUAGUCGAUGGGAAACGGGUUAAUAUUCCCGUACUUGGUGUUACUGCGAAGGGGGGACGGAGAAGGCUAUGUUGGCCGGGCGACGGUUGUCCCGGUUUAAGCGUGUAGGUGUGUGUUCCAGGUAAAUCCGGUUCACUUUAACACUGAGGCGUGAUGACGAGGCACUACGGUGCUGAAGUAACAAAUGCCCUGCUUCCAGGAAAAGCCUCUAAGCAUCAGGUAACAUCAAAUCGUACCCCAAACCGACACAGGUGGUCAGGUAGAGAAUACCAAGGCGCUUGAGAGAACUCGGGUGAAGGAACUAGGCAAAAUGGUGCCGUAACUUCGGGAGAAGGCACGCUGACACGUAGGUGAAGUGAUUUACUCAUGGAGCUGAAGUCAGUCGAAGAUACCAGCUGGCUGCAACUGUUUAUUAAAAACACAGCACUGUGCAAACACGAAAGUGGACGUAUACGGUGUGACGCCUGCCCGGUGCCGGAAGGUUAAUUGAUGGGGUCAGCGCAAGCGAAGCUCCUGAUCGAAGCCCCGGUAAACGGCGGCCGUAACUAUAACGGUCCUAAGGUAGCGAAAUUCCUUGUCGGGUAAGUUCCGACCUGCACGAAUGGCGUAAUGAUGGCCAGGCUGUCUCCACCCGAGACUCAGUGAAAUUGAACUCGCUGUGAAGAUGCAGUGUACCCGCGGCAAGACGGAAAGACCCCGUGAACCUUUACUAUAGCUUGACACUGAACAUUGAGCCUUGAUGUGUAGGAUAGGUGGGAGGCUUUGAAGUGUGGACGCCAGUCUGCAUGGAGCCGACCUUGAAAUACCACCCUUUAAUGUUUGAUGUUCUAACGUGGACCCGUUA
rnacentral:rRNA from 1 species